rnacentral:rRNA from 1 species
UUUAACUGAAGAGUUUGAUCAUGGCUCAGAUUGAACGCUGGCGGCAGGCUUAACACAUGCAAGUCGAGCGGGGGAAGGUAGCUUGCUACUGGACCUAGCGGCGGACGGGUGAGUAAUGCUUAGGAAUCUGCCUAUUAGUGGGGGACAACAUCU